UGCGGUGCCCCGGAGGCCUAUCGAGACGUCCGGAAGACCGAAGCCAGUUCACUGAGCUCAAGUCUGGAAAGGAGGGUCGGAGACGGGGCCGAGUCCAAUGGUUCUCUCCGGACUGUCACCCCCGCCAGGGUGCGCAGUGUACUGCAAGCAGAGGAGAACACUGCCGCUGCUGGGGUGAGCUGCUUUGGCCGGCCCUGCUCGCCUGGGACGCAGCCCUGUUUGGGUGAAAACGCUGGAACCGUGUGCUGUUUGCUUUCCCUUGGCCGGUUAGUGGUCCGGCUCCAGCUGUUGCCGUUUGCUCGGUGAGGCCGCAAGGA